UGGGGGAGUAUUGCACAAUGGGGGGAACCCGUGAUGCAGCGACGCCGCGUGAACGAAGAAAUAUUUCGGUAUGUAAAGUUCUAUCAGCAGGGAAGAAAAUGACAGUACCUGACCAAGAAGCCCCGGCUAACUACGUGCC
rnacentral:rRNA from 1 species